rnacentral:rRNA from 1 species
AGUGAACGCUGGCGGUAGGCCUAACACAUGCGAGUCGAACGGCAGCACAGUAAGAGCUUGCUCUUACGGGUGGCGAGUGGCGGACGGGUGAGGCAUACAUCGGAAUCUACUUUUUCGUGGGGGAUAACGUAGGGAAACUUACGCUAAUACCGCAUACGACCUACGGGUGAAAGCAGGGGAUCUUCGGACCUUGCGCGAUUGAAUGAGCCGAUGUCGGAUUAGCUAGUUGGCGGGGUAAAGGCCCACCAAGGCGACGAUCCGUAGCUGGUCUGAGAGGAUGAUCAGCCACACUGGAACUGAGACACGGUCCAGACUCCUACGGGAGGCAGCAGUGGGGAAUAUUGGACAAUGGGCGCAAGCCUGAUCCAGCCAUACCGCGUGGGUGAAGAAGGCCUUCGGGUUGUAAAGCCCUUUUGUUGGGAAAGAAAAGCAGCAGGUUAAUACCCCGCUGUUCUGACGGUACCCAAAGAAUAAGCACCGGCUAACUUCGUG